rnacentral:rRNA from 1 species
AACGAACGCUGGCGGCGUGCCUAACACAUGCAAGUCGAACGAGAAAGUUUCCUUCGGGGAAUGAGUAAAGUGGCGCAAGGGUGAGUAACACGUGAAUAAUCUGCCUUCGAGACUGGGAUAACUUGAUGAAAGUUAAGCUAAUACCGGAUAAGACCACGCUUCACAAGGAGUGCGGCAAAAGGGGUCUCAAACCCUGCUUGAAGAUGAGUUCGCGUACCAUUAGCUUGUUGGUGAGAUAACAGCUCACCAAGGCGACGAUGGUUAGCCGGCCUGAGAGGGUGAUCGGCCACACUGGAACUGAGACACGGUCCAGACUCCUACGGGAGGCAGCAGUGGGGAAUCUUGCGCAAUGGGCGAAAGCCUGACGCAGCAACGCCGCGUGAGCGAUGAAGGCCUUCGGGUCGUAAAGCUCUGUCAAGUGGGAAGAACACAAUGACGGUACCACUAGAGGAAGCCCCGGCUAACUUCGUGCCAGCAGCCGCGGUAAUACGAAGGGGGCAAGCGUUGUUCGGAAUUAUUGGGCGUAAAGCGUAUGUAGGUGGUCUUUCAAGUCAGACGUGUAAGCCCUCGGCUCAACCGAGGAAUUGCGUUUGAAACUGAUUGACUUGAGUGUAGGAGAGGAAAGCGGAAUUCCCAGUGUAGCGGUGAAAUGCGUUGAUAUUGGGAAGAACACCGGUGGCGAAGGCGGCUUUCUGGCCUACUACUGACACUGAGAUACGAAAGCCAGGGGAGCAAACAGGAUUAGAUACCCUGGUAGUCCACGCCGUAAACGAUGUCAACUAGCCGUUGGGGGUAUUAAAACCUUUAGUGGCGCAGCUAACGCGAUAAGUUGACCGCCUGGGGAUUACGGUCGCAAGAUUAAGACUCAAAGGAAUUGACGGGGGCCCGCACAAGCGGUGGAGCAUGUGGUUUAAUUCGAUGCAACGCGAAGAACCUUACCAGGUCUUGACAUCCUGCGAACUUACUAGAGAUAGUUUGGUGCCUUCGGGAACGCAGUGACAGGUGCUGCAUGGCUGUCGUCAGCUCGUGUUGUGAAAUGUUGGGUUAAGUCCCGUAACGAGCGCAACCCUUGUCCUUAUUUGCCAGCCUAAUGGUGGGAACUUUAAGGAGACUGCCGGUGACAAACCGGAGGAAGGUGGGGACGACGUCAAGUCAUCAUGGCCCUUACGACCUGGGCUACACACGUGCUACAAUGGCCGGUACAGAGGGUUGCAAAGCCGCGAGGUGGAGCCAAUCCCAGAAAGCCGGUCGUAGUUCGGAUUGGAGUCUGCAACUCGACUCCAUGAAGCCGGAAUCGCUAGUAAUCGCGAAUCAGAAUGUCGCGGUGAAUACGUUCCCGGGCCUUGUACACACCGCCCGUCACACCAUGGGAGUGGGUUGCACCAGAAGUAGGUAGCUUAACCUUCGGGAGAGCGCUUACCACGGUGUGGUUCAUGACUGGGGUG